GACGAACGCUGGCGGCGUGCUUAACACAUGCAAGUCGAACGGAAAGGCUCCAGCUUGCUGAGUACUCGAGUGGCGAACGGGUGAGUAACACGUGGGUAAUCUGCCCUGCACUCUGGGAUAAGCCUGGGAAACUGGGUCUAAUACUGGAUAUGACCUUUCUCCUUAUGGGGUUUGGUGGAAAGUUUUUCGGUGUAGGAUGAGCCCGCGGCCUAUCAGCUUGUUGGUGGGGUGAUGGCCUACCAAGGCGACGACGGGUAGCCGGCCUGAGAGGGUGAUCGGCCACAUUGGGACUGAGAUACGGCCCAGACUCCUACGGGAGGCAGCAGUGGGGAAUAUUGCACAAUGGGCGGAAGCCUGAUGCAGCGACGCCGCGUGAGGGAUGACGGCCUUCGGGUUGUAAACCUCUUUCAGCAGGGACGAAGCGUAAGUGACGGUACCUGCAGAAGAAGCACCGGCUAACUAUGUG
rnacentral:rRNA from 1 species